UACAGAGGUCUCAAGCGUUGUUCGGAUUCAUUGGGCGUAAAGGGUGCGUAGGCGGCGCGGUAAGUCGGGUGUGAAAUUUCGGGGCUUAACUUCGAAACUGCAUUCGAUACUGCCGUGCUUGAGGACUGGAGAGGAGACUGGAAUUUACGGUGUAGCGGUGAAAUGCGUAGAUAUCGUAAGGAAGACCAGUGGCGAAGGCGGGUCUCUGGACAGUUCCUGACGCUGAGGCACGAAGGCCAGGGGAGCAAACGGG
rnacentral:rRNA from 1 species